AACGAACGCUGGCGGCGUGCCUAACACAUGCAAGUCGAACGGGAUUCGGAGCUUGCUCCGAUGAGAGUGGCGCACGGGUGAGUAACGCGUAGAUAAUCUGCCUGAUUGGUCCGGGAUGACACUUCGAAAGGGUGCUAAUACCGGAUAAGCCCACGGAGACCUUGGUCUUUGCGGGAAAAGGGGGGGGACCUUCGGGCCUUCUGCCAUCAGAUGAGUCUGCGUACCAUUAGCUAGUUGGUAGGGUAAAGGCCUACCAAGGCGACGAUGGUUAGCUGGUCUGGGAGGAUGAUCAGCCACACUGGAACUGAGACACGGUCCAGACUCCUACGGGAGGCAGCAGUGGGGAAUUUUGCGCAAUGGGGGAAACCCUGACGCAGCAACGCCGCGUGAGUGAUGAAGGCUCUUGGGUCGUAAAGCUCUGACAGAGGGAAAGAAAUGUGGGUGGCUAAUAUCCAUACCACUUGACGGUACCCUCAAAGGAAGCACCGGCUAACUCCGUGCCAGCAGCCGCAGUAAGAC
rnacentral:rRNA from 1 species